rnacentral:rRNA from 1 species
CCUACGGGAGGCAGCAGUGGGGGAUAUUGCACAAUGGGGGAAACCCUGAUGCAGCGACGCCGCGUGGGCGAAGAAGUAAUUCGGUAUGUAAAGCUCUAUCAGCAGGGAAGAAAAUGACGGUACCUGAAGAAGAAGCCCCGGCUAACUACGUGCCAGCAGCCGCGGUAAUACGUAGGGGGCAAGCGUUAUCCGGAUUUACUGGGUGUAAAGGGGGCGCAGACGGCGAUGCAAGUCAGGAGUGAAAGGCCGGGGCCCAACCCCGGGACUGCUCUGGAAACUGCACGGCGGGAGUGCAGGAGGGGUAGGUGGAAUUCCUGGUGUAGCGGUGAAAUGCGUAGAUAUCAGGAGGAACACCGGUGGCGAAGGCGGCUUACUGGACUGCAACUGACGUUGAGGCCCGAAAGCGUGGGGAGCAAACAGGAUUAGAUACCCUAGUAGUC